rnacentral:rRNA from 1 species
GUGAACGCUGGCGGUAGGCCUAACACAUGCAAGUCGAACGGCAGCACAGUAAGAGCUUGCCCUUACGGGUGGCGAGUGGCGGACGGGUGAGGAAUACAUCGGAAUCUACUUUUUCGUGGGGGAUAACGUAGGGAAACUUACGCUAAUACCGCAUACGACCUACGGGUGAAAGCAGGGGAUCUUCGGGCCUUGCGCGAUUGAAUGAGCCGAUGUCGGAUUAGCUAGUUGGCGGGGUAAAGGCCCACCAAGGCGACGAUCCGUAGCUGGUCUGAGAGGAUGAUCAGCCACACUGGAACUGAGACACGGUCCAGACUCCUACGGGAGGCAGCAGUGGGGAAUAUUGGACAAUGGGCGCAAGCCUGAUCCAGCCAUACCGCGUGGGUGAAGAAGGCCUUCGGGUUGUAAAGCCCUUUUGUUGGGAAAGAAAAGCAGCAGGUUAAUACCCCGCUGUUCUGACGGUACCCAAAGAAUAAGCACCGGCUAACUUCGUG